CGUCGCAUCAAGUUGGGCUUGCUUCAGUAGCCGUCGCAAGGAUGGUGUAUCUCCUGUGCAGUAUUCACGUGUGUUUCAGUGCGCUUUGUAAGACAAUGCGAUGACAAUGGUUCCUGUGCAACACAUUGUCGAUUUCCCGGAAGAGUUUUGACGCCAAGAAGACGUAAACGGCGUAGGGGCAAGAACGCACCGUGAAACGCCAAUCGGACGGCACGUCGCGAAUGUUUGCAGAAACUUCGGAGGAACUUGAAGAGAAACAGGAUAAGAUGAUUCUGAACGUACGGUGAAGAGGAAUGCGGCAUAUGUCGCGACCUGCAUGGAAAACAGGAGUGUCGUGUCAUCUUCUCUAAGAAAAUACAAAUGUGAGGUGGCCAACGAACGAAAGCUUCCAGUGGUCCGUGAGUGCAUCGCACAGUCAGGCAUAUGCUUUGUCUAGACACACAUCACUGACUGCAAGCUUGGGUACCCAACAGAGCAGUGCGCCCCCAUCAACAUGCCUUGGGCUGACCUUACACACCCGAAGCCUUUUCUGAAUACAUUCUGCUGGCGCUGGAAUAAAAGAUUUAUCGCGAGGGUACUACAAUGUCAGCUCUGCUUCUGUUUAGGUGAUGAGCACAGAAAGGGUAAUGUAUUACAUAAGCCUGGUGAUGAUGUUCAGUGGUCACAAUUAUUAUUAUUUCAAAGAGCAGUGGUGGUUUACUGGUGUUGUGAUUCUAAUGAUCAUGAUAAGCCUUUAGAGUGAAAAUCGCUAAUAUGCACGGUGUUUUUUUGUUGAAUUUUAAUGUAAGAAUGAAUAUCAUUAAGAGUCGGACAAAGGAAAUAAGCUUGCGAUUCAAUAAAUAGUAGGAGUCUUUGUCUUUGCCGCUGCCUUCUUCAGACAGGACGUGAUGAUGUCACGCAGUAUUUCAGGUGUCUGUAGCAAUGCAUUGACCGUUACUGGAAAAAAGUGUAGCAAUAGAAAAAUGGAGGAUGGUGUGCAUUGUCCUUGAGGGAUUUACGAUGAGCACUGUUCUUCGAAUAAGAGGAAUGUGUGUGCUUAGAAGUAGUUUGAUGUUGGUUUUCUGCUUUGUUCAAGUGUUUCUCUUCGCUUUUUUCCUCCUUGUUGUCUGACAAACAUGCGCUGACAUGCCUCGACCUGUUCUGUCAUGCUUUCCUUCUACAUGUAGUUUUUUUUUUCUUUUUGAAAAGAAACAUAUCUUCUGAGCUUGUCAUAUUUAGCCAUUGAUGGUGUUAGGAUAUUUUGUUCUUUUGCGAGUCUCAUCUAGUAAGACUUUGGAAUUCCUACGAUCAGCGUUCAUGCAUGGUGCUUUUCUGCAAUAGUUUUUUUGCUUCCUAUGCAAUCGUUAUAGAGGUAUAAAGGAAAUAAUCUUGGGAUAGUGAAUCAAUAACUAACAGGUCCCCUGUCUACAGCGUACGUGCCCUCGAACCGUAGAGCUGCAUUCUUGGGUGAUGACGUCAUGCUGCGGCUCUAUUCUUUCAGGUGGACCUUGUCCAGUUGAGCAUUAGUGGAAAAAAACAGUGUAGCCCUGAGACAAUAGGGUCACGACUUAUGAGAAAGGCCCGCAGAGGGCACUAGGAUUCACUUGUCUCUUGGAUAUUGGCAGGUGUGGACACGUUAAUUCUGUUCCUAGCCAUUGUGUUGGCCGCUAGUGGAAAAGCGUAGCCUCGGGGGGAUUCAGGUUACCUCUGGCGGGGUACAGAUGUAUGGUUUGUCACUGUUGAAUGGUGUGUGCUUCCGUGGACGGACGCACGAUGACGACUUUAUGAAUAAGUGGAGUGUGUGUGUGUUUAACCAUGCUCUGUGUUGAUCUGUUGUGUACCUAGUCCUCCUUAUUAGUUGUUGAUGGUGUUCCUUGUUAGGAUAUUUUGUUCUUUCUUGACUUUGCUAAGUUGCACUUACUAAGUCAUUGGGAUAAGAAUGCUUGCUAUGAUCAGACUUCAUGCAUGGAGCUCUGCUGCAGUAGGUUUUCAGUUCCAUUAUAGUUGUGUAAUAGAAGGAAUCUUACGGUAGUGAUUCCAUAAAUAAUAGGUCUCCUGUCCAGAGCGUAGGCGUCCUUGAAUUAUGUAGCAGCAUGGCUGAGUGAUGAUGUCAUGCCAUGGCUUCAUUGAAGA